rnacentral:rRNA from 1 species
AUUGUUAAGCUACUAAGGGUGUACGGUGAAUGCCCUGGCAUCAGCAGGCGAUGAAGGACGUAGCUAGCUGCGAUAAGCCGCGGGAAGCCGCAAGCAGGCCGUGAUCCGCGGAUGUCCGAAUGGGGAAACCCAGGCGAUGAAUGCCGCCUAUCCACAUCUGAAUUCAUAGGGUGUGAGAAGCCCACGCAGGGAAGUGAAACAUCUCAGUACCUGCAGGAAAAGAAAUCAAUCGAGAUUCCCCUAGUAGUGGCGAGCGAAAAGGGAAUAGCCUAAACCAUAGUGAUGUCAAGCCCGUGUGCGUUGUCGCUGUGGUGUUGUAGGGCUCUGUUUGACGGUGAUACGGCGCCGUCGGCAAGUUACAAAUUAGGAUCUUAGUCGAAUGGUCUGGAAAGGCCGGCCAAAGAAGGUGACAGCCCUGUAGGCGACAAGACCCUAACUUGCUGGAUGGAGUUCCUGAGUACCGCGGGGCUCGAGAAACCCUGUGGGAAUCCGGGACGACCACGUUCCAAGGCUAAAUACUCGCUGAUGACCGAUAGCG